GGAAGUAAGAGUCGUAACAAGGUUUCCGUAGGUGAACCUGCGGAAGGAUCAUUAAAGAGUAAGGGUCUUCGGGCCCGAUCUCCAACCCUUUGUUUAACUACCAUGUUGCUUUGGCGGGCCCGUCUCACGACCGCCGGAAGUUUGGCUUCGACCAAACUUCUGGCCCGUGCCCGUCAGUGGCCCCUUCAAAUUCUUGAUCAAGUAUGAUGUCUUAGUUAAAAACUUAAUAGUUAAAACUUUCAACAACGGAUCUCUUGGUUCUG
rnacentral:misc_RNA from 1 species